AACGCAAAUUGCGCUCUUGGGUAGCCCUAGGAGCACGCCUCUCUCAGUAUCGGUUCAACAAUCUCUCAGCAGCGUGUUUGUGAAAAAUAAAUUUAUUUAUUCUUUGCAAGUGCGUGUUGGCUGGAUAAUGAGAGUCUGAGCACAAUAGAAUGUAUUUUUUAUAUAGCUCAGUCUCUUGAAAUACAUGGAAUAAACAUGACUAGCGAUCAGUUCUAUUACAUUUAUUUGUGAUGGAUAGUCAGCUUCUGAGCUGUCGUUCGAUUAGUGACGUGAAUAUUGGCCUUUAUUGGUCUCUAACCUUUUACGUUUAUCUAAUUUCGUCUGACAAUUAAAAGUUUAGAUUUUGGCGAACGUUCGAUUUUAGUGUGUGCUUUAUGUGAGAACACCAUAUGAUGACUUGUUUAAUUGCAGGGAGUCUGAAUUUUGAUCUGAGAUGAAGCGAGACAACCCCCUGAAUUUAA
rnacentral:misc_RNA from 1 species